rnacentral:snRNA from 1 species
GCUUGUAUGGCAAACUUGUGGAUAAUCACUCUCCUCAGGGAAGAUAAGCAUAGCUCCUGAACAAGGCUGACAAGCAAAAUCGUCAAGCGUUUCAUAUUUUU